ACGAGGAGUUCUUAUUCGUAUUCAACGAUGACGACGAUGAUUUCUCUUCUCAAAUGACAAUUUCUCAUCUCUGUCAUCGUCUUUCUGCUCACCGUUGCUUUGUUCUUCAAAUUGACCCGAGGAAGGUAGAUGGAAAACUUCAAGCUAUAACUUUCAGACAACGCUCCCUACCCUAUCGAUCGGUAGAGGUCGAAUCAGGAGCGACUGCUGUUCAACCUAUUUUCCAAGAAUUUUCUAUUUUCUGGCUUCAACCUCUUAGACUUGCGAUCUCGUAGCUUCAUCUGAGCACCGUAGUUCACAUGGGUUUUGCUUAGGAUUCUUCGUCUAGUGUUUUGGCUUUAAACAAUGGGUUAUUUUGAUGUUUUGGCCUAAAAAAUCCUUCCACAUUUGUUCUUCAUAUUUUUCUUCAUACCCUAAUCUCCAAUUUCUAUUUAUUACAUUAAUCCCUUUCAUGUUUUAUUCUUAAAAAAUUUAUUGAGGUUUUAUUUUCUUAAUUUAUUUCUCGCAGUUUUAAUCCCUCACAACAAAGGCUUCUCUUUCCAUUGGCAAAUCCUCCAUUUGCUAGAUGAAAUUGAAUUUAGAGAUUUUCAACUAGAGACAUUUGCACAACCUUUCUCUGUCUUUCAUUACACAUCUCUCUCUCACAUCCUACGACUUUUUUCUGUUGUUUUCACUUUCGUAUAUUAUUUUAGAGUGCUUUCUAAUGCACAUAUAAUGUAACUUUUGUAGUCAUUGACACAUUGUACAGUACAAGACUGCCUAUUAUUUAUUUUACCUUCCAGUGAGUAGCUUUUCCUUGCUCCACUUUAAGAAAGCAGUGUGUGUGAAGUGGUUGAAGAAUUAGUAGCUUCUUGGUGGCUUUGCAUUAUCCAUUUUUUUAAAACACAAAGUGUGAAGUUUUAUUCUUAAGAUCAUUUUUCUAAUAAAAUACUCACUAUUGUUUGUGAUAGAUUUGAUUGACGGUGUGCUGUUUUUGUCAUGAUUGCAGGUGGCUUGUGCACUGGUUAUGGCAGGUGACGAUCUUAAGAAACAUCGCAGUUACGGACAUUCUUGUUCAGGAUGGUUAUCCAGAUUGUUUUGGCAAUUCUGAAACCAUAGGAAAGAUCAUUGUUCAAACAGUGAAGCCUUUCCACAUUUUCAGCAAGUUAUUUUCUUUUCAAGUUUGCAUUAGAAAAUGAACUCUCUAGUUUAGCAAGAUAACAUAAGCGUUCAGUAUGGAUUUUAACAGUGAACUUUUGAACAAUGGAUAUUUAUGAGGUUGGAGAAAAUCUUUUUGCUGUGAGUGAUGCCAAGGUGGAUGGUACAAGCUACAACUAAUCCCUCAUGCUACAGUCUGUAUUUUGAAGAUUAAACAUAUUCAAGACAAUAUUUCCUGUCAUAUUUCCAUCCAUAAUCUUGUAGGUUAAAUGAAGUCCAAAAUUUUGUUGUGGCUUAAUGAAAUAGAUGAGCGAUUCCAUGAUAUGAUUUUGCUUGUAUGUUCUAUUAGUUUAGCAUGGUCAAACUUGUGUUGUAGGUACAUU